UACGUAGGGACCAAGCGUUGUUCGGAUUUACUGGGCGUAAGGGCGCGUAGGCGGCUUAACAAGUCACUUGUGAAAUCUCCGGGCUUAACUCGGAACGGCCAAGUGAAACUGUCAAGCUAGAGUGCAGAAGGGGCAAUCGGAAUUCUUGGUGUAGCGGUGAAAUGCGUAGAGUAUCAAGAGGAACACCUGAGGUGAAGACGGGUUGCUGGGCUGACACUGACGCUGAGGCGCGAAAGCCAGGGAGCAAACGGG
rnacentral:rRNA from 1 species